GUCCACUUGAAAACACCUACUGUGUGCUGAUGCUGCUAGCUACCGCACUGUAUUUAGUUCAGAGGUUUCUUCCCUGGUGAGUCAUGAGCUGAAUAUCUUGCGGUGUGCAUAUGCACAUGUUGACAUUGACCUUAACUUGCUACCUUAAAUGCAAUAUAGUACCACGUCAGGGGAAGGAUGUGCAAGGUCUGUACCCUGGUCAGCUGGGUAGAAUCCACGUUGUUCACUCUCAGGAUCACAGAGUGAGGUUCGCAUCCUUGGAUUACUCUUCGGGGCCUUACCGUGAACACUAUGAAGACUACCCGAGGAGUUUCGACCUCCAGACAUUCCACGCCCUGGACGUUCUACGCCAGAGCACCAGCGCCUCUCAAUGUGCCACUGAGACGGCUUACCAAGAGGAGUUUGGCCUGCAGUCCCACCUCAACCGUCAGUGCUGUUUCACUACUAGCUCUGGUCCAGAGUGUUUACUUGCGGUUUGCUGAUGAUUGAGGAAAGCUCAGAAUCAGCAAGUCACAUGUAACGCCCUGGACUAGAGCUACUUCACUACCAUCUCUCUUUUCAUCUAUUGAUCUGCUCCAUUAAUACAUCCGAAGAGUGUAAUGCAGGGGUAGCCAACCCCGUUCCUGGAUUUUGUUCCAACUAGGCACCACACCGGAUCAACUGAGUUAAUUGAUCAGUUCAGUGAUUGCCUAAAUUCAACACACCUGGUCUUCCAGGUCGGUUAAAUCAAAUAUCCCUGGUAUCCCUGGUAUAGAGUGAUUCCUCACGAUACCAGGGCAACAACAAAACAAAACAAAUUGGGGAAUUUUCACGAAAUGUUUGGAGGAAGGAGUGUUAACAUAUAUUUGACAUUUGUAUAUAAAAGCGUAUAUAAAAGCAUAAUUGCGAAAUAAUGAAUAGCCUGCCAGGCCUCCUUAAGACUCCAUAAUGUUUCA
rnacentral:lncRNA from 1 species